GAUGAACGCUAGCUACAGGCUUAACACAUGCAAGUCGAGGGGCAGCAUGGUCUUAGCUUGCUAAGGCCGAUGGCGACCGGCGCACGGGUGAGUAACACGUAUCCAACCUGCCGUCUACUCUUGGACAGCCUUCUGAAAGGAAGAUUAAUACAAGAUGGCAUCAUGAGUCCGCAUGUUCACAUGAUUAAAGGUAUUCCGGUAGACGAUGGGGAUGCGUUCCAUUAGAUAGUAGGCGGGGUAACGGCCCACCUAGUCUUCGAUGGAUAGGGGUUCUGAGAGGAAGGUCCCCCACAUUGGGACUGAGACACGGUCCAAACUCCUACGGGAGGCAGCAGUGAGGAAUAAUGGGCAAUGGGCGCAAGCCUGAACCAGCCAAGUAGCGGGAAGGAUGACUGCCCUAUGGGUUGUAAACUUCUUUUAUAAAGGAAUAAAGUCGGGUAUGGAUACCCGUUUGCAUGUACUUUAUGAAUAAGGAUCGGCUAACUCCGUG
rnacentral:rRNA from 1 species